UACGAGUGCCUCGAGCGUUAUCCGGAAUCAUUGGGCGUAAAGGGUGUGUAGGCGGUGGUGUUAGUCUCGCGUUAAAUCCUUCGGCUCAACCGAGGGUCCGCGCGGGAAACGGCACAACUAAGAGGAUGGAAGGGGUCUGCGGAACUCAUGGUGUAGCGGUGAAAUGCGUUGAUAUCAUGGGGAACACCGAAAGCGAAGGCAGCAGACUGGUCCACUCCUGACGCUGAAACACGAAAGCGUGGGUCGCGAAUGGG
rnacentral:rRNA from 1 species